UACGUAGGGUGCGAGCGUUGUCCGGAAUUACUGGGCGUAAAGAGCUCGUAGGUGGUUUGUCGCGUUGUUCGUGAAAACUCACAGCUCAACUGUGGGCGUGCGGGCGAUACGGGCAGACUGGAGUACUGCAGGGGGAGACUGGAAUUCCUGGUGUAGCGGUGAAAUGCGCAGAUAUCAGGAGGAACACCGGUGGCGAAGGCGGGUC
rnacentral:rRNA from 1 species